rnacentral:rRNA from 1 species
GAUGAACGCUGGCGGCGUGCCUAAUACAUGCAAGUCGAGCGAAUGACGAGAAGCUUGCUUCUCUGAUUUAGCGGCGGACGGGUGAGUAACACGUGGGCAACCUGCCCUACAGAUCGGGAUAACUCAGGGAAACCUGGGCUAAUACCGGGUAAUCCUUCGAAUCACAUGUUUUGAAGUUGAAAGGCGCUUCGGCGUCACUGUAGGAUGGGCCCGCGGUGCAUUAGCUAGUUGGUGGGGUAACGGCCUACCAAGGCAACGAUGCAUAGCCGACCUGAGAGGGUGGUCGGCCACAUUGGGACUGAGACACGGCCCAAACUCCUACGGGAGGCAGCAGUAGGGAAUCUUCCACAAUGGACGAAAGUCUGAUGGAGCAACGCCGCGUGAGUGAUGAAGGUUUUCGGAUCGUAAAGCUCUGUUGUAAGGGAAGAACAAGUACGUUAGGAAAUGAACGUACCUUGACGGUACCUUAUUAGAAAGCCACGGCUAACUACGUGCCAGCCGCCGCCGUAA